AUGGCGGUGCACGUGGUGCUCCUCGCCGUGCCGGCGGUCGGCGGGUUCAUGCAGGCGUUCAAGUUCUCGGUCCUGCUCUGGCCGGCCGCCGCGGCGCACUACGACGCCGAGCUGCUAGCGUACCUCACCGCCCGCCGGACGGUGCCGCUGCCGGAGCCGGGGUACUCCACCCUCCGCGGCGCGCAGAGGCGCACCCGUGAGCAGCUCGCCGCGCACGCCAUGAUCGCCCUCGUCGACAUCUCCUACUGA
rnacentral:rRNA from 1 species